UUGCAGAAAAUAGUAGGUGGGGUCCUUAAAAAUUUAAAAUACUCUUUUACCUAUGGGAACCUGGUGUGCAAUGACUGCAAAACACUAGCACCCUUGGUAGUAUAUAUGGUCUAUUGCUAGCAUGGUUUGCUUUAAGGUACAUUGGAUGUGGCC